AACGCAUAUUGCACUCUCUGGUAAUCCGGAGAGUAUGCCUGUUUGAGGGUCAGUAAAUAAUAAUUAUCAUGAAUCUUUGAUUUAUGGAAUUGGGCUUUUAUUUCGAUAGAUUUAUGGCCUUAAAUUUACGUUAUGGGCUUGUCAUAUAAAAUCCGAUCUAAAGGAGCAAUUAAACAUUCUCUCAUUAGCGCGGAUUUUUACAAGCUGUUAUGAUCUUUGGUUGCUUUCAGCAUUUUUACGAGUGCGAAACCAAGAUCGUAAGUUUACUCUAACAAUGACCUCAAAUCAGGCAAGAAUACCCGCUGAACUUAA
rnacentral:misc_RNA from 1 species